GCUGACGCCUGCCCGGUGCUGGAAGGUUAAGGGGAUCUGUUAGAGCAAUCGAAGCAGUGAACUUAAGCCCCAGUAAACGGCGGCCGUAACUAUACCGGUCCUAAGGUAGCGAAAUUCCUUGUCGGGUAAGUUCCGACCCGCACGAAAGGCGUAACGAUUUGGGCACUGUCUCAACAACAGACUCGGUGAAAUUGUAAUUCCGGUGAAGAUGCCGGAUACCUG
rnacentral:rRNA from 1 species